rnacentral:rRNA from 1 species
UACGUAGGUGGCAAGCGUUGUCCGGAAUUAUUGGGCGUAAAGCGCGCGCAGGCGGUUCCUUAAGUCCGCUGUGAAAUCCCCGAGCUCAACUUGGGAAUUGCAGUGGAUACUGGCAAGCUGGAGUAUGGUAGAGGAAGGUGGAAUUCCCGGUGUAGCAGUGAAAUGCGUAGAGAUCGGGAGGAACACCAGUGGCGAAGGCGGCCUUCUGGACCAAUACUGACGCUCAUGCACGAAAGCGUGGGGAGCAAACAGG